UUGUGGUAGGAGAGUGUUAUCGUUCCCCACAAGUGAUGUCAUGUCACCUCCUGCUGCUGCGUGACGUCACGAGAUUAUAGGAAGCUGCUGCUCCGCCCUUACACUGAAAUCCGAGAAGCGACCUGCCCACAACACAACACAAGCUGUCGCUUCCUCUGCAGGAUUGGUCUGAUGGAGCAAAGGCACUCGGCGCGGCUCGGUGCAUAUGGCACGGAUCGUCCUGCACAUUUGAAAUGGCACCAGAGAACCCACACGGGAGAGAAAUCCUUCAAGUGCAGUGUGUGUGGGAAGGCGUUUGCACAGUCAUCAAAUCUUAAUGUACACCAGAGAACCCACACGGGAGAGAAACCCUUCAAGUGCAGUGUGUGUGGGAAG